GCUCAGCCUGAACGCUGGCGGCGUGGCUAAGACAUGCAAGUCGUACGGUGUAGCAAUACACAGUGGCGAACGGGUGAGUAAUGAAUCGCUAAUGUGCCCCGGACUCUGGGAUAGCUGACCGAAAGGGCAGGUAAUACCAGAUGACAUAACCUUUCCGCAUGGUGAGGUUCUCAAAGGUCCGCCGGUCUGGGAGCAGGCGAUUUUGUAUCAGCUAGUUGGUGAGGUAACGGCUCACCAAGGCGACGACGCAUAGCCGGACUGAGAGGUUGGCCGGCCACAUUGGGACUGAGACACUGCCCAGACUCCUACGGGGGGCUGCAGUAACGAAUCUUCCGCAAUGCACGAAAGUGUGACGGAGCGACGCCGCGUGUGGGACGAAGCCCUUCGGGGUGUAAACCACUGUCAGGGGUAAGAAAGUUCUGAUCUACCCCAGAGGAAGGCACGGCUAACUCUGUGCCAGCAGCCGCGGUAAGACAGAGGUGCCGAGCGUUAAGCGGAAUCACUGGGCUUAAAGCGUGUGUAGGCGGACUUCUAAGUACCUUGUGAAAUCCCACGGCUCAACCGUGGAACUGCUCGGUAUACUGGUCGUCUUGAGCCACUUAGGGGCAGUCGGAACAGACGGUGGAGCGGUGAAAUGCGUAGAUAUCGUCUGGAACGCCAAAGGUGAAAACAGACUGCUGGGGAGUGUGCUGACGCUGAGACACGAAAGCCAGGGGAGCAAACGGGAUUAGAUACCCCGGUAGUCCUGGCUGUAAACGAUGUCGACUAGAUCGUGGUGGCUCUGACGCCUUCACGUCGAAGCAAAGUGCUAAGUCGACCGCCUGGGAGUACGUCGCAAGCU
rnacentral:rRNA from 1 species